rnacentral:rRNA from 1 species
UGGAAGUAAAAAAUCGUAACAAGGUCUCCGUUGGUGAACCAGCGGAGGGAUCAUUACCGAGUUUACAACUCCCAAACCCCUGUGAACAUACCACUUGUUGCCUCGGCGGAUCAGCCCGCUCCCGGUAAAACGGGACGGCCCGCCAGAGGACCCCUAAACUCUGUUUCUAUAUGUAACUUCUGAGUAAAACCAUAAAUAAAUCAAAACUUUCAACAACGGAUCUCUUGGUUCUGGCAUCGAUGAAGAACGCAGCAAAAUGCGAUAAGUAAUGUGAAUUGCAGAAUUCAGUGAAUCAUCGAAUCUUUGAACGCACAUUGCGCCCGCCAGUAUUCUGGCGGGCAUGCCUGUUCGAGCGUCAUUUCAACCCUCAAGCACAGCUUGGUGUUGGGACUCGCGUUAAUUCGCGUUCCCCAAAUUGAUUGGCGGUCACGUCGAGCUUCCAUAGCGUAGUAGUAAAACCCUCGUUACUGGUAAUCGUCGCGGCCACGCCGUUAAACCCCAACUUCUGAAUGUUGACCU